CCAGAAUGGUACAUUUGUUAAAAUUGAUGAACCUACAUUGACACAUCAUUAUUACUCCUAGUCUAUAGUUUACAUUAGGGUUCACUCUUGCUGUAUAUUCUAUGGGUUUGGACAAAUGUGUAAUGACAUGUAUCCACCAUUAUACAGACUAGUCCUAAAAAUGCCCUAAAAAUCUUCUAUAAUCUGCCUAUUCAUCCAUCCCUCCCCCCAACCCUGGCAACCACUAAUCUUUUUACGCUCUCUGUAGUUUUGCCUUUUCAGAAUAUCAUGCAGUUGGAGUCAUACAGUAUGUAGCCUUUUCAGAUUGGCUUCUUUCACUUAGUAAUGUGCAUUUGAGCUUCCUCCAUGCCUUUUCAAGCCUCCAUAGCUCAUUUCUUUCUAGUGCUGAAUAAUAUUCCAUUGUCUGGAUGGUUUAUUUAUCCAUUCACUUACUGAAGGACAUCUUGGUUGUUCCUAAGGUUUGGCAAUUGUGAAUAAAGCUGCCGUAAACAUCUUUUUGCAGCUCUUUGUGCAGACAUAAGUUUUCAGCUCCUUUGGGUAAAUACUAAGGAGUGUGAUGUUUGGGUCAUAUUGUAUGAGCAUGUUUGGUUUGUAAGCAAAUGCCUAGUUGCCUUCCAAAGUGUCUGCACCAUUUUGCAUUCCCACCGGCAAUGAAUGAGAGCUUCUGUUACCCCACAUCUUCACCAGCAUCUGGUGGUGGUGGUUUUCUGGAUUUUGGCCAUUCUACUAAGUGUGGAGUGGUAUCUUGUUUUAAUUUGCAUUUCCCUAAAUAACAUAUGAUGUUGAACAUCUUUUCAUAUACUUAUUUGCCAUCUUCUUUGGUAGGUGUCUGUUCAGAUCUUUUGCCCAUUUUUCAGUUGUGUUGUUCAUUUUCUUACUGUUGAAUUUUAAGAAUUCUUUGUAUAUUUUAGAUAACAAUCUUUUAUAUGUUUUUUUGCAAAUGUUUUCUCCCAGUUUGGCUUGUCUCCUCAUUUUCCUGAUCCCCAUAGUUUUUAAGAGGAUUAUUUCAGCUUGGACUGAAAGGCACAGAGAGUACAAAAUGAAAAUAGGCCUUUGGACCCCAAACUUCUAUAGACAGGAAGGAUACUAACAGCAUGCCUUCUUAGCAUGGACCCAACAGCCCAGAGUAGCAAGCUGUGAGCCACAGUGACUCAUUCCCAAGCAGUACAGCUGAGCCUUAAUCUUGGAACUAGCAGCAUAUGCCCGGCUGGGUUUCAGAAUUUUAAUGGAUCAAAGACUGCUGUCUCCUCUCUGCCUUUUUGGGUGGGAGUAUCUAUAGCAGUUAUCCUAUGCCUGUUCCACCGUUGUAUACUUGUGUUUGUGGAGGCAGACAACUUAUCUUUUUUGUUUACAGCUCUUCAGAUCAAGAGGAACUGUACUCAAGGGGCUGUAUUUAAGGAACUGUACCUAAGAAGUUCAUUUGUACCUGGUCCUGAAGCCUCAGCCCGACAUUGUGGGUAUUGAGGAAUGAGUAUAUUUUGCAUGUGGGAGAGAUAUGAACUGCUGUGGCUAGAAGGUACACUGUGGAUGCUUACCUUUCGAACCUAGCCACGCUGGUAUGAGGAAGCCUGGGCCACAUACAGAAGCCAUGUGUAGGUAUUCUGGCACCAACCAAGGUUUCAUCUGACAGCAUCAACCACCAGAUAUGUUAGUGAAUGAGUCGUUUUAUAAUUUUAGUCCCCAGCCUUCAAGCCACCCCACCAGAUGCUGAGUGGGGCAGAGAUGAUCUAUCCCCUCUGAGACCUGUCCAAAUUGCAGAUUCAUGAGCAAACUAAAUAUUGUUUUAGGUCACUAAGUAUUAGGGUAAUUUUUUUCAGUGUAGCCAUAGUAACUGAAAUAAUUAGGUUUAUAAUUUUUGGGUU
ensembl:lncRNA